GUUUUCUUUUCCUGGUGGGUGUUUCCAUGAGGUGAUAGAGAAUUCAGCAAGAAUAAAAGCUGUCCCUAAAGCCUGCCUGCUCCUUGGCCUUCAACUGCAUUUCAACCAGCAGCAUUUCAGUAGACAGAAGAGAAAGGUGGAUCUGCACUUGAUGCACAGCAAUAAUACAGAUGUGGUGGUAACCGAGCAGUUCCCUGAGUGCCAGACGAUCAGUCAACAGAGGAGGCUGCUACAGCUUUGAAGAUAAUGGAAGCGGCCACAAGCCAAGGAAAGCCGGUGGCCUCUGCAAGCUAGAAAAAGCAAGGAAAUUGAUCCUUCCCUGAGCCUACAGAAAGGAAUGCAGUCCUGCUGACACCUUGAUGCUAGCCUCACGAGAUCCAUGUUAGACUUCUGACCUACAGAACUGUAAGUAGAUGUUGAUUUCCUUUCUCAAGCUUGCAAGCAGCUAAACAUGGUCUACAAAUUUUCUGCUAGAAGAGUGGACUGCAAUAUUGCCCAAACUUGCUCCUUCAUCAUUUAUUAUAACUGAGCUUCAACAUAUGAAUUUUGGGAGGACACAAAUAUUUAUUCCAUAACAGAAAGGGUCAAUCCUGGAAGGAGGGAAUAGAAUUUGCAAGGAUAUGAAGUGAAAGGUAAAGAGAAUGUUUGAGCAUCUGUUGUAAGGCCGGCUGUUUUCCUGCCUCCCUGGUUCCAUAUCACAGAGUUCUUCAGACGUGACUAGGACCCCCAUCCACAAUCUCAUCUUAACAUCCCAGGGAGAAAAGAAAUGGUAAAUGUCCAAAAUGCAUUGGAACCUAAAAUGAUAAUUAAAUUAACUAUGUAAAAUGGGAAACACAAGUCAUCAAGCUAGACAUGGGCCAAAAAACAAAGAUGAACUAUAUAUU
rnacentral:lncRNA from 1 species